ensembl:lncRNA
CUGUACUCUGUACCACCCACUGUUAUCAUCUUCAGUGCCCUGUACCAACACAGAGCAGCUCACCUGAGCCGUCGUUUCUUUCCUGAUCUUUUCCUGUCUUCUGUUAUCAGACCUGAGAUGUGACUGCUUUCUGCUGUUGCUGAUGACCCCAGUUAAGUCUACAAGACAUGCUGUCAGGAGAGAUGAGCCCUCCGUCACAGAUGGUUACUGGGUCCCUCAUCUGGGGCUCUCCUCAGCUCUUCCCAGGAGGGUGGCACGGGUGCCCCUCCAGUGCUCCUCUUUGGGCUCUCACCCUCUGGGGCCUCUGGAUGUCUGGAGCCUGGAUCUCCUUUAUGCCUGCUUCAUGCCCUGGGGGACGGGGCUAUGGCUCUCUACAUCUUCUAGCAGACCGUUACAUGGGGAAACCUUUUGAAUACAAGUGCACUGAUCCACACAGGUGUGCACACGGGUGUUCACUGUUCAUAGACAUAAACUACACCUCUAUUGGUGCUAUUUCCAAGCACAUUGUGCGCUGUCUGUCCUGCGUGCUACACAACAACAUUCAAUAUUCAGUAUUUACUGCUGUUUACACUUAGCUAGAUUAAUGUGAUGGUGUUGUGUUUAGUGUGUUGCUCUGGUUUUUUGCUUGUUUUCUCUUCUUUUUCUCUCAACAGGUGAUCCAGGAGAUUUUUUUCUCUUCUUUCUCUUUUUAAGUGCCCUUUCUCACUGUCCCUCUCCCCGUCAGUUUUUCUUUUCCUUCAUCUUUCUUUCUCCCUUUCCUAUUCCUCAGUCAUGCCUGUCCCGUCUGUAACAACUGAAAAUAAAAUAAAAUAAAUAAUAACAACAAAGGUCGAUCAAAUGGAACAAUACGACAAGGCUGUGAUGCUCCAUUUGGCAAAGUAAAUCGAUUGGGUAUUGUUAAAUCCUCCCAAUUCUUUCGAUCUUUGGACUGGAGGAAGGACAAUACUCGGUGUAUAAAUGCUCAAUCAACAAUCUUUUAUUCCAUACAAUACAACACUUUAUGAGCAUAAACCAUCCGGGUGGGGAGACAUGCACGAAGAGGGU